rnacentral:rRNA from 1 species
AUCUUCCGCAAUGGACGAAAGUCCGACGGAGCAACGCCGCGUGAGUGAUGAAGGCUUUCGGGUCGUAAAACUCCGUUGUUAGGGAAGAACAAGUGCUAGUUGAAUACGCUGGCACCUUGACGGUACCUAACCAGAAAGCCACGGCUAACUACGUGCCAGCAGCCGCGGUAAUACGUAGGUGGCAAGCGUUACCCGGAAUUAUUGGGCGUAAAGCGCACGCAAGGGGUUUCGUAAGUCUGAUGUGAAAGCCCACGGCUCAACCGUGGAGGGUCAUUGGAAACUGGGAGACUUGAGUGCAGAAGAGGAAAGUGGAAUUCCAUGUGUAGCGGUGAAAUGCGUAGAGAUAUGGAGGAACACCAGUGGCGAAGGCGACUUUCUGGUCUGUAACUGACACUGAGGCGCGAAAGCGUGGGGAGCAAACAG